rnacentral:rRNA from 1 species
GACGAACCGAGCGAACGUUGUUCGGAAUCACUGGGCUUAAAGCGUGUGUAGGCGGAAUUGUAAGUACCUUGUGAAAUCCCAUGGCUCAACCAUGGAACUGCUCGGUAUACUGCUUUUCUUGAGCCACUUAGGGGCUACCGGAACAAAUGGUGGAGCGGUGAAAUGCGUAGAUAUCAUUUGGAACGCCAAUGGUGAAAACAGGUAGCUGGGAGUGUGCUGACGCUGAGACACGAAAGCCAGGGGAGCGAACGGG